rnacentral:rRNA from 1 species
UCGAUUUGGAGUUUGUUGCCUAGAGUGAUGGGCUCCGAAGCUAACGCGAUAAAUCGACCGCCUGGGGAGUACGGCCGCAAGGUUAAAACUCAAAUGAAUUGACGGGGGCCCGCACAAGCGGUGGAGCAUGUGGUUUAAUUCGAUGCAACGCGAAGAACCUUACCUGGUCUUGACAUCCACAGAAUCUUUCAGAGAUGAGGGAGUGCCUUCGGGAACUGUGAGACAGGUGCUGCAUGGCUGUCGUCAGCUCGUGUUGUGAAAUGUUGGGUUAAGUCCCGCAACGAGCGCAACCCUUAUCCUUUGUUGCCAGCGAUUAGGUCGGGAACUCAAAGGAGACUGCCGUUGAUAAAACGGAGGAAGGUGGGGACGACGUCAAGUCAUCAUGGCCCUUACGACCAGGGCUACACACGUGCUACAAUGGCGUAUACAAAGGGAAGCGAAGGUGCGGGCUGGAGCGGACCUCCUAAAGUACGUCUAAGUCCGGAUUGGAGUCUGCAACUCGACUCCAUGAAGUCGGAAUCGCUAGUAAUCGUGAAUCAGAAUGUCACGGUGAAUACGUUCCCGGGCCU